CGAAUUUGUUUUUAGUUUGUUUGUUUGUUUUGUUUAUAGAACAUUUAAAAGACACGCAGCUACACAAUUUUACGUUUGUGUUAAUUUUUGUCACUCUUAUUUUUGAGGGUAAAACCACUACCUACUUUUGACGAAAAUUUAAAAUGUAUUAACUUCGGCGCUAUUGAGCCUAAAUACAACAUAUAAUUAUGAAUGUAUUGUACUGCAUCGAUAUAAUUUUAUAAGAGCUACGCCAGACUAUUAGAGUUAUACAUCAAGUGUUUGACUAUUUGGAUUUUAUAAAAGUCAUACAAGUACUACUUCUACAUCGUAUGGCUUUUUGUAGUUUUUAUCGGUUA